rnacentral:rRNA from 1 species
CAGAGCCGCGGUAAUACGUAGGGCGCAAGCGUUAUCCGGAAUUAUUGGGCGUAAAGAGCUCGUAGGCGGUUUGUCGCGUCUGCCGUGAAAGUCCGGGGCUCAACCCCGGAUCUGCGGUGGGUACGGGCAGACUAGAGUGAUGUAGGGGAGACUGGAAUUCCUGGUGUAGCGGUGAAAUGCGCAGAUAUCAGGAGGAACACCGAUGGCGAAGGCAGGUCUCUGGGCAUUAACUGACGCUGAGGAGCGAAAGCAUGGGGAGCGAACAGGAUUAGAUACCCCUGUAGUCCCUGUCUCUUAUACA